rnacentral:rRNA from 1 species
AACGAACGCUGGCGGCAGGCUUAACACAUGCAAGUCGAGCGCCCCGCAAGGGGAGCGGCAGACGGGUGAGUAACGCGUGGGAACCUACCUGAAGGUACGGAACAACUCCGGGAAACUGGAGCUAAUACCGUAUGUGCCCGAAAGGGGAAAGAUUUAUCGCCUUCAGAUGGGCCCGCGUCAGAUUAGCUAGUUGGUGAGGUAACGGCUCACCAAGGCGACGAUCUGUAGCUGGUCUGAGAGGAUGAUCAGCCACACUGGGACUGAGACACGGCCCAGACUCCUACGGGAGGCAGCAGUGGGGAAUAUUGGACAAUGGGCGCAAGCCUGAUCCAGCCAUGCCGCGUGAGUGAUGACGGCCUUAGGGUUGUAAAGCUCUUUCGACGGGGACGAUAAUGACGGUACCCGUAGAAGAAGCCCCGGCUAACUUCGUGCCAGCAGCCGCCGUAAGAC